rnacentral:tRNA from 1 species
GGAGAGGUGGCAGAGUGGUCGAAUGCAACGGACUUGAAAUCCGUCGUACGGCUUUAACCGUACCGAGGGUUCGAAUCCUCCUUCUCCGCCA